AUUUACCAGCCCAUUAAGAAUUUUACAUUAAAACACUAAAUAUUUUUGCAAGCGAGAGUCAACAAGAUUCUGCUCGGAGGGUCGUUUCAGUGACUGAAUCGCCAAGCGAAUUGCCAAAAGACAACUCGGAAUCAAGAACAUUAUGCUCAAGAUAAAGUAUUUCAAUAUUAAAAGUGACCACAAGAAGAAGAACCAUGGACAGGCACUGGGAAUACAGCUUAAAGAAAGAAAACUUCUAGCUGUGAUCCAAAAAUAGAUGGACCACACACCGUCUUGAUUGAAUUUCAGUCUUUCUGGGUCACAAACCAAGAUGGCGGCGAGGGGCGCCAAAGGAGUACUCGAUUUUAAAAUACCGAGAUGUAAUCAGGAAUUGUUGAUUGGUGUUCAGCAAGAAUUCACCACGGCGUAUUAUUUAUGGUCCGUUAGAAAAUACAUAGCGUUACAUAGCGGUAGAACAGAGAGUAAUAAACCGGGUGGGCUUUGGAAUAGAAUCAACAAUGUCAAAGAUCGUAACUUCUGAAAGCAUCGAAUAGAACCUUAUCAAGGCUAUUCUCCACUCCAUAUUAUCGACACGUUGAUGACGCUACAAGUAUUCUGCCCUCCAUACCACCUACACGUUAACGAUGCUAUUCUGCACAUCGUAAUCAUCGGCACGACAACUAUUCUGCACAUCAUAUCCCUGAUUCACGGACUACCACACGUUGACGGCGCUGUUAUCCAUACCAUAUUGCCGACACAAUGACGACUCUAUUCUCCACACAAUAACACCGACACGCCGAUGACCCUAUGCACCACACAACACCGCCGACAUACAGCAGCAUUAUUUACACCAUAUGACGACCUUUUCCGUUACACCAUACCACUGACAAAUUGACAGCGCUAUUCUCCACAUCAUAUCACCGGCACAUUGACAUCACUACUCUCCGCACCAAAUCACGGACACAUUGACGUUUCUGUUCAUCUAACCAUAUCAUCGACAAUUUGACGUCACUUUUCUCCGCACCAUAUCAGUGACACACUAACGCCAUUCUUACCAGCAGUAUAGAAGAGCAUGCACAUGUAGGGUCCUUAGAACAUUUCACAAAUAUGCAGAUCUUUUAUUUUUCAAUUCAUAGGUCGAGGAAACAAACUUCGUGUAUAUUUCCAAUUUGAGACUUCAUGGACAACAGAUUGCAUGUCAAAGUAUCAAAGAUAAACAACAAAACGGAAGGGUAACUAAUCGAGGGAAACUUUCAGCACACUACACACAGAGCCAAACAUCGUAGAAAGAACCACAAAAAUUGAAUAAAGAUGUCAUUCUACACAUUGAAAUGUCGAAAUUUAAAAUGGCAUUUUUUUCCAGUGGGAAUAGUUUCCCCUGGCAUGUUUUGAUUUCGAGUCCAGAAAUGGAAAUGCUUGAUUAUGU
rnacentral:lncRNA from 1 species